GCGCCCAUAGCUCAGCGGAUAGAGCAAUUCGGUUCUAACGAAUAGGCCGGGGGUCCGAAUCCCUCUGGGCGCG
rfam:Microgenomates (Daviesbacteria) bacterium GW2011_GWA2_40_9 TT29_C0010, whole genome shotgun sequence.